ACUCAAAGGAAUAGACGGGGGCCCGCACAAGCGGUGGAGCAUGUGGUUUAAUUCGACGCAACGCGAAGAACCUUACCUGGGCUUGAACUACUGGUAGUAAGUCUUUGGAAACAUAGACUGAUCCGCAAGGAAGCCAGCAGAGGUGCUGCAUGGUUGUCGUCAGCUCGUGUCGUGAGAUGUUGGGUUAAGUCCCGCAACGAGCGCAACCCCUAUCUCAUGUUGCUAAUCCCGCAAGGGAUGCACUUUUGAGAAACUGCCUUCGAUAAGAAGGAGGAAGGUGGGGACGACGUCAAAUCCUCAUGGCCCUUAUGUCCAGGGCUACACACGUGCUACAAUGGCCGGUACAACGGGAAGCAAUACCGUAAGGUGGAGCAAAACCCUGAAAGCCGGCCCCAGUUCAGAUCGUGGGCUGCAACUCGCCCACGUGAAGGCGGAAUCGCUAGUAAUCGCGAAUCAGCAGGUCGCGGUGAAUACGUUCCCGGGCCUUGCACACACCGCCCGU
rnacentral:rRNA from 1 species